GUGCUCACUUCGACAGCACAUACACUAAAACUGAAAUGACGCAGAGAAGAUUAGUAUGUCCCUGCAAUAGAUGACUCGCAAGUUCAUGAAGGGCUCCAUAUUUUU